rnacentral:lncRNA from 1 species
CUUUGUCGAACCGAGCCCAGCCCUCUGAGGCUCUGACCCUCUCUCAAACUAUCCUUCGAGGAGUUCGAGCGCAUCGCGGCAUCCCUGAGCCCAAACCUGGACGGCGUCUCCUUCAAUCAAACCAUUCGAUUUCAUUUCACAUCACAUCAAAUCCAUUCGAUUCAUUCCCAGAUUUCCUAUUGCUGAUCUGGGGGGACAAAGAAUGAGGUACAAAGCAGGUUUGGGCUUUUUAAAAUUUCAGUUGGGUCGUAGCCGAAUUAUGGCUCAAUUAUAAACUCGGUUGGAGGCCCAACCAACCGAUACCGAGAUCUUGGUAUACCGACUUCUGUGGUCGGUAAUGGGAGAAGAUUUUAUGUACCAAAUUAGUCUGGUAUGGUAGGCGGUUUUGGGCCUGCAGCUCCGGUACCGAACCGAACCCACCCCUACAACCUGGCCUAUUAGACGAUGCCCAACUUACAAGAUGAUGAGCUACUGCAUUGCUUUCUCUAUAAAUAUGUUUAAAGUAAGACGUCGGCAACUUAGAAAGAAGAGAUAAAUGUCACCAUACACUGAUCUUAGUUGAACAUCAGGACCUUGUACAUUUGAUAACGCCUUUGACUAAUUAUAAGCAGUGGUGGAUCCAUAAACUUUUUUCAGGUUGGGUAAAAAAAAAUUACU